CACCAGCAGUUGAAGCUGCCAGCAUGAUCUAAACUUCUUCUUGCUCUUCACUCAAGCCAAGGAAAGAUCAGAUCAUAUGGUAGCUUCACCUUUUGAUG